AUAUACAUACACGCAGACAAAAAGAAGAAGAGGAAACAAAAUACAAAUUGAAUAUGUAUGAACAAGUUUGUUAAAGUUAACCAUUUUUCUUUCUCUCUUUUUUUCUCUCUUUUUUAAUCUUUUUAAAUCUUUUUCUCUCUCUCUCUCUCUCUCGCUCUUUAU
rnacentral:ribozyme from 12 species